AACGAACGCUGGCGGCAGGCCUAACACAUGCAAGUCGAGCGAGACCUUCGGGUCUAGCGGCGGUCGGGGGAGUCACGCGUGGGAACGUGCCCUUUUCUGCGGAAUAGCCUCGGGAAACUGAGCGUAAUACCGCAUAAGCCAUUCGGGGGCAAGAUAGAUCGUACAAGGAUCAGCACGCGUUGGAUUAGGUAGUUGGGAGGGUAAUGGCCUACCAAGCCUUCGAUACAUAGCUGGUUAGAGAGGAAGGUCAGCCACUCUGGGACUGAGACGCGGCCCAGACUCCUACGGGAUGCAGGAGAGCGUGAUCUUAGACUACCGGGGCAACGCUGAUGGAGCCAGGCUGGGAGAGUGAUGAAGGCCGUAGAGUAGUAAAGCACUUUAAGCUGGGAAGAUACUGACGGUACCAGAAGAAGAAGCCCCGGCUAACUCCGUG
rnacentral:rRNA from 1 species